rnacentral:rRNA from 1 species
UACGUAGGGUGCAAGCGUUGUCCGGAAUUAUUGGGCGUAAAGAGCUCGUAGGCGGCUUGUCGCGUCUGCCGUGAAAACCUCAGGCUCAACCUGGGGCGUGCGGUGGGUACGGGCAGGCUAGAGUGCGGUAGGGGAGAUUGGAAUUCCUGGUGUAGCGGUGGAAUGCGCAGAUAUCAGGAGGAACACCGAUGGCGAAGGCAGAUCUCUGGGCCGUAACUGACGCUGAGGAGCGAAAGCAUGGGGAGCGAACAGG